CAAUUUUACUUUAGUGGCGGACGGGUGAGUAACGCGUGGGCAACCUGCCUUAUACAGGGGGAUAACACUUAGAAAUAGGUGCUAAGACCGCAUAAGCGCCCAGGGCCGCAUGGCCCAGGGUGAAAAACUCCGGUGGUAUAAGAUGGGCCCGCGUCUGAUUAGCCAGUUGGCAGGGUAACGGCCUACCAAAGCGACGAUCAGUAGCCGGCCUGAGAGGGUGGACGGCCACAUUGGGACUGAGACACGGCCCAAACUCCUACGGAAGGCAGCAG
rnacentral:rRNA from 1 species